UGGCUCAGACGGUAAAGCAUCUGCCUACAAUGCAGGAGACCCGGGUUCGAUCCCUGG
rfam:TPA: Bos taurus chromosome 4, whole genome shotgun sequence.